GACGAACGCUGGCGGCGUGCUUAACACAUGCAAGUGGAGCGACGAAGCGGGCUUCGGCCCGUGGCAGAGCCGCGAACGGGUGAGUAACACGUGGGUAACCUACCCCGAUGACCGGGACAACCCGAGGAAACUCGAGCUAAUACCGGAUGUUCUCGCUUCUCGUAAGGGAAUCGAGCAAAGAUAGCUUCGGCCUUCGCAUCGGGACGGGCCCGCGGCCCAUUAGCUUGUUGGUGGGGUAAUGGCCUACCAAGGCUUCGAUGGGUAGCUGGUCUGAGAGGACGAUCAGCCACACUGGGACUGAGACACGGCCCAGACUCCUACGGGAGGCAGCAGUGGGGAAUCUUGCGCAAUGCGCGAAAGCGUGACGCAGCAACGCCGCGUGGGGGAAGAAGGCCUUCGGGUUGUAAACCCCUUUCAGUUGGGACGAAGCUUCGUCGGUUAAUAGCCGGCUGGAGUGACGGUACCUUCAGAAGAAGCCCCGGCUAACUACGUGCCAGCCGCCGCCGUAACAC
rnacentral:rRNA from 1 species